rnacentral:rRNA from 1 species
GACGAACGCUGGCGGCGUGCCUAAUACAUGCAAGUUGAGCGAUGAAGAUUGGUGCUUGCACCAAUUCGAAGAGCAGCGAACGGGUGAGUAACGCGUGGGGAAUCUGCCUUUGAGCGGGGGACAACAUUUGGAAACGAAUGCUAAUACCGCAUAACAACUUUAAACAUAAGUUUUAAGUUUGAAAGAUGCAAUUGCAUCACUCAAAGAUGAUCCCGCGUUGUAUUAGCUAGUUGGUGAGGUAAAGGCUCACCAAGGCGAUGAUACAUAGCCGACCUGAGAGGGUGAUCGGCCACAUUGGGACUGAGACACGGCCCAAACUCCUACGGGAGGCAGCAGUAGGGAAUCUUCGGCAAUGGACGAAAGUCUGACCGAGCAACGCCGCGUGAGUGAAGAAGGUUUUCGGAUCGUAAAACUCUGUUGGUAGAGAAGAACGUUGGUGAGAGUGGAAAGCUCAUCAAGUGACGGUAACUACCCAGAAAGGGACGGCUAACUACGUG